GUCCUUAUAGCUCAAUGGAAGAGCGCCAGCCUGGAAAGCCAAGUGCCAGUGGUUCGAUCCCCGUCCGGUACA